rnacentral:rRNA from 1 species
ACCCCACUAUUAACCCACAAGAAAAAUCCUAAGCACUACGGCUUUAAAGCUAAAACUUAAAUAACAUGGCGGCGAGCUUAAAUUUCAGAGGAACCUACCAGGUAAAUGAUAACCCGCAAUUUAUUCUUACUUUAUCUAAAAGUUUAUAUAUCGCCGUCUAGUAAUCUUCCGAGAAGGCUACAAAAUGUAUUAUUACAAUAAGACAGGUCAUGACAUAGCAUAUGAUAAAGACUUGAGGUGGGUUACAAUAAGGAAUUCUUUCAGAAAAGUUGCCUAAAGGCAUGCUCCAAGAUGGAUUUGAAAGUAAUAGUUAAAAUAAAUAGACUUUGAAUUUUUCUAAGUUCGUGUACACACCG